GUUCGAUUAUGGCUCAGAUUGAACGCUGGCGGAUGCUUUAAUAAUACGCAAGUCGAACGGCAGCACGGAUUCUGGUCUGGUGGCGAGGGCGAACGGGUGAGUAAUGUAUCUGAACGCCAGUAGCGGGGAUAACUACGCGAAAAGCGCAGCUAAUACCGCAUGAACACCCUUCGGGGAAGUGGACCUUUCGGCCUGCACUAUUAGGGAGCGGCUGAGCAUCGGAUGCCUUAGCUAGUUGGUGGGUAACGGCUCACCAUGCGACGAUCCGUAGCUGGUCGAGAGGACGACCAGCCACACUGACUGGCAGAUUACGCGCCCAGACUCCUACGGAGGCAGCAGUGGGGAACGGAUUAACAAGAAACCCCGAUCCAGCCAUCCCGCGGUGCGAUGGCCUUUUGGCUGCGCUGAACUUUUGGCAGGAAAGAAACGGCACGGGAUAAUACCCUGCAACUGACGGCACCGCAGAAUAGAGCCACCUGGCUAACCGAUGUACAGGCAGCCGCGGUAAUACGUAGCGGCGCAAGCGCGUUAAUCGGAAUUACUGCCGGGCGUAAAGCGCGCGCAGGCGGUUCGGAAAGAAAGAUGUGGAAAUCCUUGCGGAGCUUUAACUUCUUGAACUGCAUUUUGUUCACUGAGCUAGAGUGUGACAGAGGGAAGUGGAAUUCGCGUGUAGCAGUGAAUGCGUAGACAGGUGGAGGAACACCGGCGGCGAAGGCAGCUCCGGGAUAACACUGACGCUCAUGCACGAAAGCGUAGAUGCCAGACGACACCUUAGCCCACGCCCUAAACGAUGCUGUCCAGCUGUUGGGGCCUGGGCCUGCAGCGCAGCUAACGGUGUGAAGCUGACCGCCUGGGGGAGCAUGGUCGCAAGAUUAAACUCAAAAGGAAUUGACGGGGACUCGCACAAGCGUGGAUGAUGUGGAUUGAACUGACGGCACGCGAAACCUUACUCACUCCUCUGAUAUCUGGAAUCCUUUAGAAGAGAUUUGGGAGUGCUCGCAAGAGAACCGGAACGCAGGUGCUGCAUGGCUGUGGUCAGUUUGUGUCGUGAGAUGUUGGGUUAAGUCCUGCAACGAGCGCAACCUUUGUCAUUAGUUGCCACGAAAGGGCAAUUUAAUGAGACUGCCGGUACAAACCAUGAAGGUGGGGAUGACGUCAAGUCCUCAAUUUUGCGGUAGGGCUUCACACGUCAUACAAUGGCUGGGACAGAGGGUCGUGCCAACCCGCGAGGGGGAGCUAAUCCCAGAAACCCGAUCGUAGUCCGGAUCGCAGUCUGCAACUCGACUGCGUGAAGUCGGAAUCGCUAGUAAUCGCGGAUCAGCAUGUCGUAGAAUACGUUCCCGGGUCUUGGUGCACACCGCCCGUCACACCAUGGGAGUGGGUUUUACCAGAAGUAGUUAGCCUAACCGCAAGGAGGGCGAUUACCACGGUAUAUCUACACUGGGGUGGAAGUUGUAAUGAAGGUAA
rnacentral:rRNA from 1 species